UACAGAGGUCUCAACCGUUGUUCGGAUUCAUUGGGCGUAAAGGGUGCGUAGGCGGUCGUGCAAGUCGGAUGUGAAAUCUCAGGGCUCAACCCUGAAACUGCAUUCGAUACUGCGCGGCUAGAGUGCUGGAGGGGAGACUGGAAUUUACGGUGUAGCAGUGAAAUGCGUAGAUAUCGUAAGGAAGACCAGUGGCGAAGGCGAGUCUCUGGACAGCAACUGACGCUGAGGUGCGAAAGCGUGGGGAGCAAACAGG
rnacentral:rRNA from 1 species